rnacentral:rRNA from 1 species
CCUACGGGGGGCAGCAGUAGGGAAUAUUGCUCAAUGGGGGAGACCCUGAAGCAGCAACGCCGCGUGGAGGAUGAAGGUUUUCUGAUUGUAAACUCCUUUUGUUAGAGAAGAUAAUGACGGUAUCUAACGAAUAAGCACCGGCUAACUCCGUUCCAGCAGCCGCGGUAAUACGGAGGGUGCAAGCGUUAAUCGGAAUCACUGGGCGUAAAGAGCGCGUAGGCGGGUUAGCAAGUCAGAUGUGAAAUCCUAUGGCUUAACCAUAGAACUGCAUUUGAAACUGUUAUUCUAGAGUAUGGGAGAGGUAGGUGGAAUUCUUGGUGUAGGGGUAAAAUCCGUAGAGAUCAAGAGGAAUACUGAUUGCGAAGGCGACCUGCUAGAACAUAACUGACGCUGAUGCGCGAAAGCGUGGGGAGCAAACAGGAUUAGAUACCCCUGUAGUC